rnacentral:tRNA from 1 species
GCUGGAGAGAUGGCUCAGUGGUUAAGAGCACUGACUCCUAUUCCAGAGGUCCUGAGUUCAAUUCCCAGCAAACA